AAAAGAAUUAAACUAUGUGCCAAUUUUAGUGGCAUCAUUCCCCAGCAUCUCCUCCCAUCCCUUCUUCCCUAUAACAAACCGAUAAACUCAUAGAUCAGAUUGAACUCUCUGUUUCUUCCUUCUAUUCAAAACACAAACAAAUCCUCAAAACUCCCAAAUCUCUAAAAUCUUGAAAUUAAAUUCCAUGCCAAUUCAUAGUCAAAAUCAAGAAACUCCAAAUCCAAACACAAAACCGAAAAAAAUAAUUUCCCUUUUCAUAAAAUGUGUAAUUAUGGCUUUAGUUCUCUCCCUUUUCCUUGUUUUUCUCCUUUUCUUAGGUUUCGCCGCCCUUGUCCUCCUCCACUUUUUAAUAACCUCCACCGCCUUCCACCGUCGUCACCGCCGUCGCUACCACCGGAGAACCUCGACAACCCCAUCAACAACGACAACAACCUCGUAUGAUCUGCCUUGUGUUAAUUACUGUGGGUCCCAGCAAACUGUUAAGGAUUGUGCUAUUUGUUUGGAGGGAUUUAUGGAAGGAGAAUUUUGUAGGAAUUUGCCCGGUUGUGGUCACUUGUUUCAUGUGAAAUGUGUGGAUUCUUGGCUUACGAGGGUUCUCAAUUGCCCCAUUUGUCGGAGUCGGGUUCGGGUCGAUUCGGGUUCUGUUAUUAGUGAUGAAGAUUGGAAGACUUGGUGGGCUGUUGGUGUUUCAGCUGGGUAGCUGCUUUUUUGCUGAAUUUCUGCAUUUUGGAUUGAACUGAUGCCAGAAAUCAGAAAACAGGGAAUCAUAGACUGAAGAGAAUGGUGGAGUGGAAUUGCAUAGAGGUAUUUUCUCGAAAAGUUGUUAACUUAACUGGUGAAGGAUUAAAUCUUUGGCUUCUGAUGUGAAUUUCGUUCCACGACAGAAAUAAACUGUAGUUUCGUUAAUCUUCUUGUAGUGUAGUUUCUUCCCAAAUUAAUGAUUUGGAGAUGAUCAUAUGUAUAUAAAUUUUGCCUUUGUAAUUAGGUUCUGUUGAAUGAUUUGAUGUGUAAUCACAUAAGGAUGGGGAGUCACUCUUUCCCUUCAUUGUGUAUACUUUUGAUCCCUAGUCUCUAAAUCAAAGAUUAGAUCUCUUAAUGUGUA